rnacentral:misc_RNA from 1 species
CAACCCUCAAGCUCUGCUUGGUAUUGGGUGUCAUCUGGCAACAGAUGCAUCUUAAAAUCAGUGGCGGUGCCAUCUGGCUUCAAGCGUAGUAAUUCUUUCGCUCUGGAGGUUCUAGGUGUGUUCUUGCUCUCAACCCCUAAUUUCUCAA